rnacentral:rRNA from 1 species
GAUGAACGCUGACAGAAUGCUUAACACAUGCAAGUCUACUUGAAUUUGGGUUUUUUAACUUAGAUUUGGGUGGCGGACGGGUGAGUAACGCGUAAAGAACUUGCCUCACAGCUAGGGACAACAUUUGGAAACGAAUGCUAAUACCUGAUAUUAUGAUUAUAAGGCAUCUUAGAAUUAUGAAAGCUAUAUGCGCUGUGAGAGAGCUUUGCGUCCCAUUAGCUAGUUGGAGAGGUAACGGCUCACCAAGGCGAUGAUGGGUAGCCGGCCUGAGAGGGUGAACGGCCACAAGGGGACUGAGACACGGCCCUUGCUCCUACGGGAGGCAGCAGUGGGGAAUAUUGGACAAUGGACCAAGAGUCUGAUCCAGCAAUUCUGUGUGCACGAUGACGUUUUUCGGAAUGUAAAGUGCUUUCAGUUGGGAAGAAAAAAAUGACGGUACCAACAGAAGAAGUGACGGCUAAAUACGUG